rnacentral:rRNA from 1 species
UCUUUAAAUUCAAAGAAUUUGGCGGUACUUUAGUCUAGUUAGAGGAACCUGUUAUAUAAACGAUACAACACGCAAUAUCUUACUAACCUUAGUUUAACAGCCUGUAUACCGUCAUUAUUAGAUAAUUUUUAUAGAAAAGAAUUAUUGAAACGGAUAUGUUAAAUAUAUUAGAUCAAGGUGCAGCUAAUAGGUUAGAAAUAAUGGGUUACAAUAAAAUUUAUUUAAGAUGGAUUAGAAAUAUAAAACGACUAUGAAAGCGGAUUUAAUUGUAAUGGAAGUUUAAUAAGCUUUUAUGAUAAAAGAACUAAAUUAUGUACAUAUCGCC